rnacentral:rRNA from 1 species
UACGUAGGGGGCUAGCGUUGUCCGGAAUCAUUGGGCGUAAAGCGCGUGUAGGCGGUCCGGUAAGUCCGCUGUGAAAGUCGGGGGCUCAACCCUCGGAUGCCGGUGGAUACUGUCGGGCUUGAGUACGGAAGAGGCGAGUGGAAUUCCUGGUGUAGCGGUGAAAUGCGUAGAUAUCGGGAGGAACACCAGUGGCGCAGGCGGCGUCCUGGACCGGUACUGACGCUGAGACGCGAAAGCGUGGGGAGCGAACAGG